rnacentral:rRNA from 1 species
AGCCUGAUGCAGCGACGCCGCGUGAGGGAUGACGGCCUUCGGGUUGUAAACCUCUUUCAGUAGGGAAGAAGCGUAAGUGACGGUACCUGCAGAAGAAGCGCCGGCUAACUACGUGCCAGCAGCCGCGGUAAUACGUAGGGCGCAAGCGUUAUCCGGAAUUAUUGGGCGUGAAGAGCUCGUAGGCUGCUUGUCGCGCCUGCCCUGCAAGAACUGGGCUCAACUCCGGAUCUGCGGUGGGUACGGGCAGACUAGAGUGAUGUAGGGGAGACUGGAAUUCCUGGUGUAGCGGUGAAAUGCGCAGAUAUCAGGAGGAACACCGAUGGCGAAGGCAGGUCUCUGGGCAUUAACUGACCGUGAGGAGCGAAAGCAUGGGGAGCGAACAGGAUUAGAUACCCUGGUAGUCCAUGCCGUAAACGUUGGGCACUAGGUGUGGGGGACAUUCCACGUUUUCCGCGCCGUAGCUAACGCA